AGAACUUUGCAGUAUCUUCUACCCGCCGCAGACAAGAGAGAUCGUAGCCACGAUGGUGAAGGGGCAUCAAGGCGAGUGAGUCAGACUGUAUGUGAGGGGAACGAUUCUCGGGUACAAGAGAUCGAAAUCCAACCAGUACCCGAAUACAUCGUU